ensembl:lncRNA
GUUUUCAAAGACGAAUAGGAUUUCCAUAGGCAGAGACACAGAAACUGGAAGGACAGGCCCUGGCUGGCUCACAGGUCGAAUACUGAGCCUGGGGCAUGAAAGGUAGGCCUGGGGCCCUGUCACCCUUGAGAUAAAAUGUUUGCAAGUCAGGAAGCUGCCUCACUGAACACCAUAUCUGGCGUCACUUCCAACUUGGUCUACCCAUGUGAGCCAUGGGGACUCAGUCCCACCGGGCUACGGAAAAGCACUAUUUUCCUCACCCUAGUCUUGCGUGAGGGCUGUGUUGGUUGGAGACUGGAGCGUAGCAGUUUCUUCCCAAAUGCAACCUUCUACCCCGGAGGGAGGCUCCUUGGGACUCAGGAAGUAAGCGACACAUAUGUUUCAGGGAGUCUGACAUUUACCAGAUGCACAAGGCCCCGCCCUCCCCCAGGUUGCGCAAGAGGUAAAGAUGCGGAAGAGAGACCUUAGACCUGCUGAGCUGCCUGCAAGUCCCGCAGGGAGCUCCAUGACUCCCGGGUCCCUGAGUCGCCACCCGCCUGGGAGUGACUUUUAGUGAUGCAGCUGCCUUUGAAUCGUCCAUGCUCCUUUCCCCCCUUAGGGGUAACCGUCACUCUAUGGCCGCCACCGCCAGAUAACCAAUGCCUGCUUUCCGUAUGGUUCGGUUCUGAGUAUCAAGGCGAGUGGUGGACUUGGGAAAACCAGACCCGAAGGAGACGCUUCGCAGUGUCCUUGGCAAGGAGUCAAGGGAAGCCCAUGAGGUCCUGCCUCCAAAUACCAAGCUUGUAGCCACCUCGAUCGGAUCUUGGAUGCCUCCUCCCCCAAAACAGAUCUCGCAUAAGGGCCUGGGAUUAACAAGGGGUUCAGAGUCCCCUUCCUUGGCAUAGAUGACCACACACCCACCCAUCGAACUUUCCUACAUGAAGUGCCUGGGCCCAGACACCCCUAGCCCAGACCGUGAUCUGUGAGGCCCGACACUCUUGGUGCUGGCACCGAGUGGGUGAGGCAGUUCCCUCUCUUUGGCGAAUGGGGAAGCUCCUGGCUUGAUUCCCUGCGUGGUCUCGGGGUCCACAGGCCGUGACCAAGGAGAGAAGAGAGUCUGGCCCUGCCUCGGGGAGGAGGGCCAGCGUGCAGAUUUAUGACCCUACCCUGUCCCUGCGCACCAAAAGCAACUCAAGCCAGACAGUGGAAUGUAAGACCCGACCCGGGCCAGAGGAGGAGGCCAGGGUCGGAGGCGGGGCUGAGAGGAGCAGAAAUUCGAAGUGGCCGGGUGCCACCGCCCCGGGGUUACCGGUUGCUCGUUGGGGUCCGGAUGCUGUGCGUGGCUCUGGCACCACAUCUUUGGUUCUGCUGGUGGGCCUGGGUUGCCCUUGGAUGAACCUCUUCAGGAUUCCCACCUUCUGAUGGGCCAACCGCAGCGAGAGACUGCGAGCGUGGCUGGGCCCAGCCUGGCCUCUCCGGGUUUUAGCGGCGCCCGGGCCGGGAGCUGUAGGGUAGCCGGAUUUAGGAUCUACGGAAACGCUCGCUUUAGACUCUACUAUGGCAUCUCCACGGGAGGCACAACUCAGCUUUCUCUUGGGAUCCCCUUUACUUAAGUCUCCAGUGGAGUUCACUCCUUGGGAGAGCUGGUUUGGGGCAACCGAUACAGGGUGGUUUGGAUGUCCUCCCUUAGGAAUGGAAACUAGCUUUGUUUCUUUUUCCUUCUUCCCCUGAUGAAGGAGUAUGGUGGAAACCUGUUCACAGCGCUAGCAACAUCGGGGGUGUGGAUGAUGAUGAGGUCAACCUUUCGUGGGGCAUAAGUGAGGGAAGGAAACGCGGGGUUCCCUGGAGCUGGACAAAGGCGCACCGCAGGGGAGGCAGCCGCGCUCAAGGUUGGCCUGUCCUCUGAUUUUACAACAAAGAGCUUUGAGUUUUGUCCGUGGGGACUCGUUCAGACCGGGACUAGGGACCUGGAAGAACACACUAGAAGGCUCAGGAGUGGCCGGGGACGACCACGCCGGACCAGACAGGCCAGCUCGAGUGGGUUGUCCGGGAACUGCGUCCUGGGACUACAUGGAGGCCCCCCCCCCCAGCUGAUUUUCCAUCCAGUCAGUACAACACACACACUGCGUCAACACAGUUUUUCUGGCCACGGAUCCUGACGGGUAAACAAGCGAGAGGGAUGGGGGAUGGGGCGCGAAGAUGGCGCCUGGACCCGUGGUCCGUGCAUUUGUCCCCAUCUCCGUUUUAGGACGAGCACACCCGGCUUUUGUAGUUAAGAGCGUCUCUGCCCCGGCUGUAGGUCGUUUCCCCAGACCCAGAGGCUCUCGGAAGUGGUGUGGUGUUGGUGCAACCUCUGCUUCUCUGCAAGUCCCCACGCCCCAACAUGGCUCCCAACCGCUGUUACAUGUAGGGGGACACAGGGGCGUGGAGACCAGGGCCCUCGCCUGCCCACCGCACACUUAUACUUGGCAGACUGGAGAGACGCAGGAGGGACCCAGCCUGCGUUCCCCUGCUUGGGCGCUGGGAAUCCGGUGCCACCGGUUCCCCAGGUUCAGCGCACCGGUGGCCCGAGAGCCGAGUGGCAGGCCGAGAGGGGACCCAGAACGCCGCACAUUCCAGGGGGGAGCGGGCCACGUUCCACACCAACCACGGCCCUAAUGAAACUGGGUCGGUACGCCACGCAGACAGGGCGCACACUUGAAAAAUGCAAACGCCACCGGCAAAUCCCAGGCAAAUUGGAAUAAUUUUUUAUUAGCAGCUAAAUGAUUUAUGGCACAAUACCCCGCCGUCACAAUUACGGCGUCUUGGAGCAUCCAGGGGUGAAAACAUUAAACAUUUAUAAAAACAGGCCUUUGUUUUUUUCUAUCCCCGCAAGCCUUUUGCACAAUCCCCCAUCCCAUUUCUCUCAAGAUACAUAUUUUUUUUGAGCUGUAUUAAAAUAAGGAAAACAUUCUGGAUCCCGGGAGGGAUGAGGGGGUUGGGGGAGAUCAGGGCCUGCGCUCUGAAUAUUGGAGGGCGAUGGGGGGGUGGGGGAAAGCGGUGGGACUGAGGCGUGGGAGGGUUUAACUGGGAACCCACAAAGGCCUCUGGAUAAGGCUCAAGGGCACUAAGCGCUCCCCACCCCCUCAGCCCGUUCCUCUCUUGUUUCCAGCAGCCCGCGCAGCUUAACGGCAUUUAUUUUAUUUCUUGCAAUCAACCCCCCUCCCCUAAGGCACAUAGACACAAUACCUCCUUUCUCUAACCCCCCUCUCUCCGUCUUUGCUCCUGGCCGUCCCCGGGCAGCACCGGACGCCUCGGGUCGCCCCUGGCUGCCACUGAGACCCGCACGCCCAGCUCCAAGCGCGCGGACACCGCCGCUCAGUUCCCCUCGGCUCGGGCUAUUUUCGUUCUUUUCUCUCCUUCUCACUCCUCCCUCCUCCCCCCACCGAGCUCCAGCUUCCAAAAGAGGGCAGCCUAGAAACCAGCGCAGGAAGCUCCAGGAAGGGCAACUUGAAACUGCCCUCAAGAGGCCGAAUUUUUUUUCCUUCAAAUUUAUCCUGGAAUUAAAUUAGACACCCCCAGUUCUCUCUCGAAUCUUCCCCCCUCUUUUUUUCUUUCUAAAAGUGGAGAAAAGAAAAUAGAACGGAUGAGCGCUAACUAGCUCAUUAAAAAAAAGACUUCAGAAAAAUUGCCUUAAAAUGGAUUUUCUUUAAAAAAAAAUAGCAGUGUGAAAACGCUGAGUCCGCAGAGCAGGGCGAAAGAGCGGGCUUCUUUUGUUUUAAUUAAAAUCCUAUAACCACGGUUGCUCUCGAGGCAGGAUCUGCAAGCUCUCUGCCUUUCCAAGCUUCUUUUCCAGGGUAGGUAAUGCCUAGCUGGGCUCGGGCUCCUGUGGGGCUUGUGGAGAGGGUGUGGGGACCCCCCUCCCCUUAGGACCAGUCCCUUCGGCGAGGACCACAAUCCCCGCGUCCCCAGCCAGGUAUAUCUGCCGUCCGCAGUUCCUGGCCGCUCAGCCCCGAAAGUUUUUUUUUUUUUUUUUUUUUUGCUGAAGGAGCAAAAUAAAAGUACAAAGUCUGGGGGAUUGGGCUCCCCUCCCCCUCUGGCCGCCGUGGCCAGCCAAGCACUUUUGGGCUUGGCUUGCUUCCUCUGAGCUCAACAGAUUUUUUUUUUUUCUCCCUUUCCCGGUCUCGCCCUCCCUGGAGGGGGCGCGGCGGAUGGAAGGCGAGAGAGGCCCCCAGCCAAGAGGUUUUUAAUAUUACACCUUAAUAGGUUUCAGAAGGCCCCGUGGAGAAAUGCUAAUAGGGCUGAAAUGUCAGAACCGAGAGGGAUUCAGCUCGCGCUCCGCCGAUCUAAUCCUUUUUUCUGCUCUGGUUUUUCUUGGGGGGUGGGGUGGGGUGGAGGGGAAAGGAGGGGCGCCCACGCCAAAAGGGGCUUUGGGGAGGGGCGCGCGGUGCGCACUCGGCCGCAGAACCCCACAGCCCGGGUUUCUAUAGGAACCCUUUUUAUAAGAUGCAACUCACCGCUGCCGGCCGCCGCGGCCUGUCCAAAAUAUUAAAUAGUAAAGCCUUCUGACACCGCGUUUCAGGGAGGGGACCCGCAGGCUGGGGCAACAGGAAAAAAAAAAGGCCUUGUCGUCUGCCCACCCCACCCGACCGCGACUGCUGUGGGGGGGGCAAGGAAUGAAUCGCUUCUUUAUUUUAAAAGAAAAAAAAAGAAAAAAAGCAGGCCUUGUUAUUUCGGCGUCUGAACUGCGCGCGGUGGAGUGGCACCCUGGAGAGGGAGCACCGGGCGCGGGCGCAAAGAGCAGCCCGCUCGCUCCCGGCCCUUCCCGGCUAGCUUGUCACCUCCUCCCGCAGGAGGAAGCUGACAGGAGGCCUAGCAGAGCCCAGGAUUGCGGCGACAACCAUCUUCCUCUAUUUUGAUCACUCAGCCCAGACGCAGGAGGAGGGGCUGGAAUGGGGGGGAGGGAGAAAAGGGAGAAGGAGAAGGGGGGGCCUGCUGGAGUUGGUGAGGGGGAGGGCUGCCUAGAAACGGCUCGGAAAAAUUCUCACCACCAGUUUUG